UGCUCAGUGAUAAGAGCCAACUACGUUGGCAAUACACGCUAUACUGACCUUAUUUUGAUGAAAAAAUGUAUAUGGGAGCU